AAAACGUCAUCGUACCACAUCUUAAAGCUAAAACGCACCAAUAUCAUUUCAGGCGGAUCUCCUAAAUGGCUUCCAGAUAGAUUGAGUAAAAUAAAAGGCAUCGCAAGUGCGCGCGUGCGUGUGAAAAAACACAUGCGGUAAAGACUCUCUGGAACUUCCACAAAGUUCUCAGUCAAACAAGCAGAACAGGGACAGAAAUCCGAAGUGAGGAUCAAUCCGAAAAUGGAACCACUUCCUAUCUGGUCGUCUGACUGUCAACGCCGGUCCGUUCGCAAUGAGCCGUCACCCCUGGCGACGAUGUGGCACCUACUCUUUGCGUGCCUCGGUGCAGUUGGAGGUGCGGUGCCAGCAGCUGUCCAGGGAGCUCGCCCGGCAGACGGCGCAGCGGCAACGCGACGCGCAGGCCCUCAAGGACAAGCUGGCCGAGGCCAAGGAGGAAGGACGCGGCGAGGGUCGCCGGCAGAAGGAGGAGCUGGCGAAUACCGUGGCCUGGCUGUCCCAACGCGCCGCCGAGCUGGAGGGCCACCUCGACAGAGUCCGCGCCGACGAGCGCUCGCUGACCGAUCAGCUGGCAGAUGCGCGGCGACAACUUGCCGGCGUGGAAAAGGAAAACAGCAAAGUGUGCGCCGAGCUCCGGUGUCAACUGAGCGGUGCCCAGCUCAUGAAAGACGAGGCCGAGCGAGAACUGCGCGACCUCAAGUCCAAGACCGACAGGCAGCUGGAGAGUUCCACACAGGAAGUGGAAAAGCUGAGCUCAGAGCUGGUUGGGUGCCGGCAGCGCCUGGAGGCGGUCCAGAGGGACGGCGGCCAAUGGCGGGCCGAAGCCCUGAGCCUGGCCGAACAGCUGGCGAGCGCCCAGCGCCAACUGCACCUCACCAGAGAGGCCGGCGAGACGGCGGCCGCGGCUCACCGGGAAGAGAUGGCCCGCGCGGCUCACUCGGGGCGCCGGCGCGAGGCCGAGAUGACGGCGACGCUGGGGCGGACGGAGGCGCGGCACCGGCAGAGAGUCGGCGAGCUGGACGGACUGCUGUCUUCCCAGGAUUCGCUCAUCAAGAAGCUCACGGAGGAGUGCCGCACGCUGGGAGCCACCCUGGAGGAGCUGACGGGGAACAAAAGGCGGGAAGUGGAGCGGCUGACCGCGGCCAAUCGGCACCUUCGGGGCGCGCUGAACAAGACGACGGCGCGCUGCUCCGACAUGGAGAAGCAGUGUGUCCAGCAUGGACGAGUGCACCGUAGCAUGAAGAACAGGCUCCAACAGUUGGACCGGCACUGUCAGAGUAGCGCCCGGCAGAGCGAAUGCGGAAGGCUUCGGUGGCGUGUGAACAAGAAACGCCAAAGGACCGGCUGCGACGUUGGAAGACGCAAACACGUGACAAGCGAACGCCGAGACAGCGGCGGCCGUGCGGACGUAGCCCAUCCCGGCUGACCGCUCGCCAGUCGAAACGCGCAUUCCCGCGGCCAACGAGACUCUCGCGAGGGUUAGCCUCCGAUGCUGCUUUCUCCGACCUUCUUCACUCUUCUUCCGCAGUCGGUCGUCCUCUGCUUUUCGACUUGCGCCUCGCCUUUCCUGCCCGACUCGCACACGCGCAC